rnacentral:rRNA from 1 species
AACGAACGCUGGCGGCAUGCCUAACACAUGCCAGUCGAACGAGACCUUCGGGUCUAGUGGCGCACGGGUGCGUAACGCGUGGGAACCUGCCCUUAGGUUCGGAAUAACUCCCCGAAAGGGGUGCUAAUACCGGAUAAUGUCUUCGGACCAAAGAUUUAUCGCCUUUGGAUGGGCCCGCGUAGGAUUAGCUAGUUGGUGGGGUAAAGGCCUACCAAGGCGACGAUCCUUAGCUGGUCUUAGAGGAUGAUCAGCCGCACUGGGACUGAGACACGGCCCAGACUCCUACGGGAGGCAGCAGUGGGGAAUAUUGGACAAUGGGCGAAAGCCUGAUCCAGCAAUGCCGCGUGAGUGAUGAAGGCCUUAGGGUUGUAAAGCUCUUUUACCCGGGAUGAUAAUGACAGUACCGGGAGAAUAAGCCCCGGCUAACUCCGUGCCAGCCGCCGCCGUAACAC